rnacentral:tRNA from 1 species
GCGGUGGUAGCUCAGCUGGUAGAGCAUCUGCCUUCCAAGCAGAAUGUCGCGAGUUCGAAUCUCGUCCGCCGCUCCA